rnacentral:tRNA from 1 species
NCUAAUAUGGCAGAUUAGUGCAAUGA